ensembl:lncRNA
GUGGCUGCGGCUGCAGGGGACUCUGAAGGAGCACCACGAGACUCUGCAGCUGGCCCUGGAGGUGUCCGCCUUCUUCCAGCAAGCGGAUAUCCUGCUCGGGGCCAUUCAUGUGAAGAGCAGCAUCUGCGGCACAGGGAAGUCAGUGGAGGGUGUGCCAUGCCAGGAUCGGGAUGUCAGGGACAUAGCCAGCCAGGUGAUGAUGCUGGAUGUGACCGUGUCCCAGCUCCUAAACCUGCAGCCCAGCCUGGCAGCCCAGGUCACCUCAAAGCACCAAGAUGUCAAGGAGAGCUGGGCACAGCUCCAGCAGGCACUGAGGUAGAGCACAGCCAGGCAGGAGCCCCGUGACUGCAACCCCAACCCCCCAGCACCGGAGCCAGAGGCUUGGGAAAGACCUGGAUUAGCCCCUGGCAGGCUGUCUCUGGGGCACCAGCUCUACUUAAGGUGUCUAUUCAUCCUCUGCUCCACUGGUCCUCCCUUGCCUCCCUUUCCCAGGUCAGAGAAGGCUCCAGCCCUGGCAAACAUUUCCCCAGGGAGCAAAGCUGUGGCUCUGAAUGUUGAGCCCCGAGGAGAUAAUAGCAGCCAUGGGACUGUGGGAAAGGAAGCAGGAGCCAAAUGGACAAGAGGACUCGGGAGCAUGGUGGCAACAGAUGUGCUGGGGAAGAUGGCAGAGCACAAGAGAGGGGAGGAGAGCAGCCCUUGCUCCCCAGUGGGACAGCCCCCUCAUGGAGGGGACAACAAAAGGAGGAGGAGAGAGGCAGAGACUGAGUGGGGAAUGCAGCAGCUGGAGGUCCAAGUGCAGGAUGUCUGCCAGGCAGUGAACACAACUCUGUCCCUGUACAAUGAGAGUGUGGGUCCUGGAGUCUCCCCAUGUCCUGUGGAGAGCCUGAAGGCAGCACGGAUACAGCAGAAGCCCCUGGACCACAGCUCCAGUGUCAGGGCUGUGCUCCUGGAGGGGCCAAUGCCAGGGAGGCCCCCGGGGAGCCCAAAGGUGAAGGCCAUGCUGCGAGAACUGGGGGAGUUGUGGGAGGACCUGCAGAGGAAGCACCAGGAGAACGGCGUUGUGCUGCGAGAAAUCGAUAAGGCACUGAGGCUGGUGGGGGAGCUGGACCAGGCUGAGCGGUGGCUGCAAGCUGUGUCAGGGUCGCUCUCAGAACCAGCCGCCAUGAGAAGCCCGGUGGAGCUGCGCCAGGACCUGGAAGAGAUGGGCCAGCUGGAGAAGCAGCUCCUGACGUGUGGCCUCAAGCUACAGGCACUGCGGGAGGAAGCAGCAGGCGAGUCGCCCACUGAGCACGAGGGGGCGAGGAAGAUGCAGAGGAAAGUGGAGAUGGUGGAGGAGAAGUUGGCACAUGUGCAGGCAGCCCUGCGGCGCCGGGCAGCAGAUCUGCGGGACUCCCUGGUGCUGUCUGAGUUUCUGCAGGACCUACAAGAAGAGGAGGCACAGAACCAGCAGGGAUCUGCAGCGCCAGGGAGCAGGUGUUGCAGCUUGCAGGGGUCUUUUCCCCUACUGUCAGCCCAGGCUGAGCAGCCUCCGAGCAGUGAGGACAUGAGCAGCCCCUUGGGAGAGUUGCAGGAGGCUGUGGAGAUGCUGAAUGAUGCAGCGAAGGAGCGGGAGCGAGUCAUGGAGGUGGCAGCGGAGAUGGAGAGCCUGGAGCAUCUGGUGGCAGAGGUAUCCCCUCAGCUGGAGGCCCUUCGAUGCAGAGCCAAGGUGUUGGCUCAAGACAUUGCUCGAGCAGAGAGCAGCUUCACCACGGUGAAGAGCGAGAAGGACCUCCAAGGGCUGCAGGGCUUGCUGAGCCGCCAGCAGGAGAUGGAGCAUGCAGUGUCAGAGACCCUGCAGGGACAGUUGGAGGAGCUGGAGAGGGCAGCUGCCCGCUUGCAAGAGUUGUGCCCCACUCAGCAGUGCCCCACCACCCGGCAGGUGCAGGAGACGCUGUGGGCGUGGGCAGGGCUGCGAGAGCUGCUGUGGGAGACUCGGACCCGAGUGCAACAGGCCAGCCGGCUGUGGCACUUCUUCAAGGAUUAUUUAGCCAUGAUCUCCUGGACAGAGGACACACGGGCUCAGAUCUUCUCUGAAAGCCCAAGCAGCCCCAGCCUCCCAAAAACUCCAUGUGAAGAACUGGAGAGGAGGAUCGAAGAGAAGCUCAAGGAGUUUGAGGCACUGGCAGCAUCAGGGCAGCAGCUGGUGUCUGAGGAGCACUACCUGAGUGCAACAAUAAAGGAGCGCUUGGAGGAGCUGCAGAGCAUGCUGGGCUGGGUGCUGGUGCGCUGGCGAGCACAGAGGCACCAGCAGGACCUGGAGAGCAAGGAGGACAGGAGGGACCCAGAGAGCUCCUCAAGCACAUCCCUUACCAGCCAAGAGCAGCACAUCUCAUGUGCACUGUCCCAUCUGGAAAGCGUCCACAGCCCAGUGGAGUUCAUGCCCUGCUCCCUCCUUGAGCCUGUGCAAAGUUCAGAGCCAUGGCUGGCAGGGGAAACAGCCAUCUCCGCACUGGCAUCACCCCUCUCAGAAGCCCCAUCGGGAGCGGAGCAGAGCUGGGGGACACCCAGCAGCAAAACACCUCGUGGUGCAGGAUCCCCCAAGGAGCCUGUCACCUGGGAUCCUGCUGAGACCUCCACACUGCUGCUGCCACCACGGGGCCCCAGUGGUCUCGGGGGGACGGUCAACCUCAUCCUCAGCGUUGGCAAGAAGGGUGAGAAGAAGAAGGCACAGCCGCUGGCCGGCGGCGAGCGGCCAGGGGAGGAGGCACUGCAGACGGUGCAGGUGGAGGCCAGGAAAACCUCCACCGCAAAGCAGCCACCUGCUGUCGUCCACCGCCCUCCAGCAUCCGGCAGUGGGAUGCCAGCUGUCUCCCACACCAUGCCUAAGGCUGGGGCUGGCUCCCUCUUCAACAGCCUGCAGCGGCGGGAGCAGGCAAGGGCAGAGCAGGCCCAGCUGCUGACGCUCCAGGGCAUCAUGGGCGAAAGCUCCCUGCGGCCCACACCCGAGGAGCACCAUGGCCCCAGCAACACGUGGCCUCAGAAGUGUGGUCGGAGAAAGGGGGGGCUGGGGGCAGCUGCUGCCGGACCCCAGCUUGGAGAGCUGCUGCUCUAUGUCAGGAACCCACUGGUGCAGGACAUUGAUGCCGAAUGCGGGGCAGCCCCCCAGGACCCCUGCCUCUCUGACCCAAAAACCACAUGUCCCCGCCUUUCCCUGGGCUCAGUUCUCAGCCUGGAGCUGCCCCGGGAUGCAAUGGUCCUGGGGUGCCACCGAAGGGCUACAGCAUGGCAGCAGAAGGCAGAGGGGCAAGAGCACAGGCAGAGUGGGGGGAUGAGGCCAAGGGAGCCCACAGGCACACAUGGGGUUGGAUGGCAGGAGGAGGUAGAUAUGGAUGGGUGCAGUCCCCAGGGACCCAGCAAGAGUCUGGGGACAACCCCCAAGAGUGAGCGAGGAACGUGGUUUGAGGAGGUGAGCUUCAACCCCAGCUACAGCCAGCACAGGGCAUACCGUGCUGGGGAGGAGCACCAGAUCCUGCAGCACUCCAGCAGCAUUGGUAAAGACCUCCCGGACUUGAGGCCAAGCCAGCCAUCCCACGUCAGCAUGCAGCAUGAGUGGGUCAGUCGAGAAGGGGAUGAGCUGGCCACCCAGCUUGGCCAGGAUGGCAGCCCCAGUGCCACUGGCAGGGCCAGGCAUCGCAAAGCCACUCGGCUGGAGCUUGGAUCAUCCCCUGUGAGAAGCCCAGGCAGGGCAGGAGCCAUCCCUGGCCCUGCCUCCACACCACGGCCAGCCAGCAGCAGCCAGCCCAGAAGGUCCUCGGCUUCCCCCACUGCCCCUACCCAGCUCUCUGUCUUUGAGUGGGCGCUGGCCUCUCCACAGCCUCACAGCCCUGUGCUGGGCACUGAGGAAGUUUGCCAUCCUGCCCAUGGCCAGUUUGAGGAAGAGGAGGAGGAGCUGCAGGCCAUCUGGGAUGGGGCAGAUGAGCAACGGACACAGAGCCCACCAGGAGGCAGCUGUGCCAGCCAGCGGACAGCAGGGAGCAGGACAGGCAGCUUGCCCAGCCCCAACACCACUGUUGGUGGGCCCCUCAUCCUCUCAUCAGCCAACAACGUGCUAGUGGCCCAGUUCACCCUUCCCACCACUGCCCGGCUGCUCCACAGCCCGUCAGGAGAGAAGAGCCCCAAAGUGGUGCACAGUGGCAGUGGCAGUCCCAGUGGGCUCAAGGUUUCCCCCCACUUGGAGGAGCUGGUGUCUGCAGUCCCCUUGGAUGGCUCCAGUGCCUGGGAUCGGCGGAAGCAUGGGCAAGAAGAAAGAGAGAGCAGCAAUGUUCUUCCGGGUAAAAUGGAGUUUCAGAUGAUGGAGGGGACACUGGAAAGGAAGCACGUAUUGCAGACAGGAGGGAGAAAGGCCAGCUGCCGAGCCUGGGGCCUCUUCCAUGCUGUGCUGAUGAGGCAGACACUGUGCUUCUACCAGGACCGCAGGGACAGCCUCAAGAGCUCCGUGGUGGCCCUUCCCCUGAACCUCUCUGGAGCAAUCUGCACCCCAGAUGCUGAGUACACCAAGAAGACCAACUGCUUCAGGCUUCAGCUGCAGGAUGGCUCUGAGUACCUCCUGAGGGCCCCCUCCCAGCCCCUCAUGAACGAAUGGGUCUCAAAGCUGCAGCAAAACUCAGGUUUCCCUGAAGUGGAUUACUUCCAGGCGGUGGCACAGUGUGUCGAGGGCACUGGUGGUACUGGGGGUUUCAGCAAGGUCCCCAGCCCUGGGAGCUCCCACCUCCAGGGACAUAAUCAGGUCAUGACCACCAGGAGCCAGGAGAUCGUGAUGUUACCCUGCUCAAACACCCGGCUGCAGAGGUCUCUGGGCAGCCAGGAUGGCCCAGCCAAGGGGACUGUGGCAGCAGCAGAGGAUGCUCAGGGGGCUGGGCACAAGGAGCAGCAGUGGUCACCCAGGGGGUCACCCAGGCUGUGGGACAACAUCUGCCAAGAAGAUGACUAUGGGCUGGUGACCAACAAGAGGAGGUCCUAUUCCUUCACCUCAGCGACCUACCAGAAGAUCACCCCAGUGGUCAUGCCCAAGGAGCCAGUGGAGGCCGGGAGCAGCUACUCAGUCACCCUGUACAUAGGGGAGCAAGUGCCAACCAUGCCCCGGGCACGCUGUCAUUCCUUUGUGGCCCAAACAGGGAGCCCCCGGGACACGCUAGGGGAGAAGACCACCAGCCCCCUUCGCCCCAAGAACAAAUCUGUUUUCAAGAAGUUCUUUGGGAAGAAAGAGUGAGCCCCAGCCACAGGGAAAAAGGUCCUAGCCUGCCUUUUAUCCUUCUCUGGGUACCAUCCUGGCAUGGUCUCUGCUCCCAGCACCAGUUCACAGCUCACUGCCUCCCCACAGGAGAGAGGCUGUGUCAAGCAGCUCCACUUCAGCCAGCCCCAGGGCUGCACUGUGCCCCAGCCACCACAACCCCUGGCCUCAGCCUGGCGCUGAGCACCUCUCCUGCCCAGUGCUCUCUCUGAGUGCCACUGGCUCCCCAGGCAUCCUGACGACACACAGCACAAGUGGAGGGAUGAUUGUUUUUAUUAAAAAAUAAAC